rnacentral:lncRNA from 1 species
UUUUUUUAUUAACGGGCCUGACAAGAUUUUGCAAUCCUGCUCCUACGUAUCUCCGGGUGCAAUAGAGAAUUCAAGGCUUACGUAGUUCUGAGUAGAAAAUGUUUGUUUGUUGAUUGAUUUUAGCGAAAGCUAUCUUGUAUUAAUCGACGAGAAACAUUGUUUUACCCAAAACAGGUGAGGAGCGGACGUAUACAUCAUAUCGAAUGGAUUUACAAAUCAACAUUCGGAAAAAAGUCACUUAUCUCAACUCAACAAUUAUGGAUGAAGC